rnacentral:rRNA from 1 species
AUUCCAGCUCCAAUAGCGUAUAUUAAAGUUGUUGCGGUUAAAAAGCUCGUAGUUGGAUUUCUGCCGAGGACGACCGGUCCGCCCUCUGGGUGAGUAUCUGGCUCGGCCUGGGCAUCUUCUUGGAGAACGUAUCUGCACUUGACUGUGUGGUGCGGUAUCCAGGACUUUUACUUUGAGGAAAUUAGAGUGUUUCAAGCAGGCAUACGCCUUGAAUACAUUAGCAUGGAAUAAUAAGAUAGGACCUCGGUUCUAUUUUGUUGGUUUCUAGAGCUGAGGUAAUGAUUAAUAGGGAUAUUUGGGGGCAUUCGUACUAACCGGUCAGAGGUGGAAUUCUUGGAUUCGGUUAUGACGAACGACUGCGAAAGCAUUUGUCAAGAAUGUUUUCAUUA